rnacentral:rRNA from 1 species
AACGAACGCUGGCGGCAUGCCUAACACAUGCAAGUCGAACGAGACCUUCGGGUCUAGUGGCGCACGGGUGCGUAACGCGUGGGAAUUUGCCUCGGGGUACGGAAUAACUCAGGGAAACUUGAGCUAAUACCGUAUGAUGUCUUCGGACCAAAGAUUUAUCGCCCUGAGAUAAGCCCGCGUAGGAUUAGCUAGUUGGUGAGGUAAGAGCUCACCAAGGCGACGAUCCUUAGCUGGUCUGAGAGGAUGAUCAGCCACACUGGGACUGAGACACGGCCCCAGACUCCUACGGGAGGCAGCAGUGGGGAAUAUUGGACAAUGGGGCGCCAAGCCUGAUCCAGCAAUGCCGCGUGCAGGA